AGCGAACGCUGGCGGCGUGGAUAAGACAUGCAAGUCGAACGGGACAGACCGAGUAGCAAUAUUUGGAAUGUUCAGUGGCGAACGGGUGCGUAACACGUGGAUAACAUUCCGGAAAGCGGGGAAUAGCCCAGGGAAACUUGGAUUAAUACCGCAUGUGGCCGCAAGGCUAAAGACGGGGACCGCAAGGCCUGUCACUUUCCGAUUGGUCCGCGGCCUAUCAGAUAGUUGGCGGGGUAAUGGCCCACCAAGGCCACGACGGGUAGCUGGUCUUAGAGGACGACCAGCCACACUGGAACUGAGACACGGUCCAGACACCUACGGGUGGCAGCAGUCGAGAAUCUUUCACAAUGGGGGCAACCCGGGUGGAGCGACGCCGCGUGGAGGAUAAGGUCUUCGGAUUGUAAACUCCUGUCAUGCGAGAACAAGGUACUCAGGCUAAUAACCUGAUUGUUUGAUGGUACCGCAAGAGGAAGAGACGGCUAACUCUGUGCCAGCCGCCGCCGUAACAC
rnacentral:rRNA from 1 species